rnacentral:rRNA from 1 species
UACGGGAGGCAGCAGUGGGGAAUAUUGCACAAUGGGCGAAAGCCUGAUGCAGCCAUGCCGCGUGUGUGAAGAAGGCCUUCGGGUUGUAAAGCACUUUCAGCGAGGAGGAAAGGGAUGUAGUUAAUAACUGCAUUCUGUGACGUUACUCGCAGAAGAAGCACCGGCUAACUUCGUGCCAGCAGCCGCGGUAAUACGAGGGGUGCAAGCGUUAAUCGGAAUUACUGGGCGUAAAGCGUGCGUAGGUGGUUUGUUAUGCAAGAUGUGAAAGCCCCGGGCUCAACCUGGGAACUGCAUUUUGAACUGGCAAACUAGAGUAUUGUAGAGGGUAGUGGAAUUUCCAGUGUAGCGGUGAAAUGCGUAGAGAUUGGAAGGAACAUCAGUGGCGAAGGCGGCUACCUGGACAAAUACUGACACUGAUGCACGAAAGCGUGGGGAGCAAACAGGAUUAGAUACCCUGGUAGUCCACGCCGUAAACGAUGUCAACUAGCCGUCUGUGACCUUGAGUCGUGGGUGGCGCAGCUAACGCACUAAGUUGACCGCCUGGGGAGUACGGCCGCAAGGUUAAAACUCAAAUGAAUUGACGGGGGCCCGCACAAGCGGUGGAGCAUGUGGUUUAAUUCGAUGCAACGCGAUGAACCUUACCAUCCCUUGACAUCCAGAGAAGAGACUAGAGAUAGACUUGUGCCUUCGGGAACUCUGUGACAGGUGCUGCAUGGCUGUCGUCAGCUCGUGUUGUGAAAUGUUGGGUUAAGUCCCGCAACGAGCGCAACCCCUAUCCUUAUUUGCCAGCGCGUAAUGGCGGGAACUCUAAGGAGACUGCCGGUGAUAAACCGGAGGAAGGUGGGGACGACGUCAAGUCCUCAUGG